UCCUGGUUGCUCAGAUGGUAAAGAAUCUGCCUGCAAUGCAGGAGAACUGGGUUCGAUCCCUGGGUCAGGAA
rfam:Ovis aries breed Texel chromosome 6, whole genome shotgun sequence.